GAUGAACGCUGGCGGCGUGCCUAAUACAUGCAAGUCGAGCGAACGGACGAGAAGCUUGCUUCUCUGAUGUUAGCGGCGGACGGGUGAGUAACACGUGGAUAACCUACCUAUAAGACUGGGAUAACUUCGGGAAACCGGAGCUAAUACCGGAUAAUAUUUUGAACCGCAUGGUUCAAAAGUGAAAGACGGUCUUGCUGUCACUUAUAGAUGGAUCCGCGCUGCAUUAGCUAGUUGGUAAGGUAACGGCUUACCAAGGGAACGAUGCAUAGCCGACCUGAGAGGGUGAUCGGCCACACUGGAACGGAGACACGGUCCAGACUCCUACGGGAGGCAGCAGUAGGGAAUCUUCCGCAAUGGGCGAAAGCCUGACGGAGCAACGCCGCGUGAGUGAUGAAGGUCUUCGGAUCGUAAAACUCUGUUAUUAGGGAAGAACAUAUGUGUAAGUAACUGUGCACAUCUUGACGGUACCUAAUCAGAAAGCCACGGCUAACUACGUG
rnacentral:rRNA from 1 species